UGGGCUGUGGGGAACUCCUGGCGCCUGUAACAGCAGACACUUGACACGAUACGGCAUGUAUAAGUUGAUUUGACUCUUUUGUGACUAGAAAAAGGGGCUGAGGACGGGGAGCCAGGAAGCAGAUGUUACCCAGGACUCUGCUUUUCUGAGGGCCGCUCUCAUGCUGGGAGGAGGAGGAGGAGCUGGAUUUGCCUGGUCCCUGGGGAAGCCCUCCUCCCUGGGGUGUUCUGCGGAGACCCUGGGUGCUGGAGGCCCUGAGGGAACCCGGACUUGCCUCUUCCACGUCCCGGUCCGCCCCCACAUCCAGCCUGGCUGGAAGCUCUGCUGUCCCAGUUGGGGGAGGGGGGCUGGACCCUGCAGGCAGGCAGAGGCUGAACUCAGUGUUGUAGCAAGCUGGGCUCCAGGGUGUAGAAGAAUUGGCGGAGGGACAGACAGGAGAGACGAGCACCUGUCCUCAGACAUCUGACCCUGCCACCCAGCUGGCCACUGCCUGACUCCAGGCCAGCUGGGCUCUCCUCUCCAGCCUUGGUUUCCUCAUUGUACAGUGAGGAAGGGGUGGGGCCGCCAGCUCUGAGCUUCCUGAUAGCCAGGACCUGCUGUGUAAUUUGUGGGGUGCAUUGGAAAAUGACAAUGUGGGGCCCUGGUUUUAAAAUUCUUAAGAGUUUCAAGACAACAAGAGUAGAGGCUCCAGUGGCGCGUGGGCCCUUCUGAGCUCGGGGCCCGGCCACAGAGUAGGGCUUCACCUGCCCACCCAGCCGGGAGGCCCCGGUGUCAGGGGCACAUUACUGGGGGGCAGAUCCCCGUUCCUGCCCCCAGUGGUGUUGUGUCUUAGCUCAGAGAAGACAGAGCUUGCCGCCAUCCCCCUCACACCCCCUUCCACACCAAAUGGCUCCAGAGUAAUUUCCAGCAGGGAUGGGGAGGUGGGGCUGAGGGAACAGGGCUCAGGAGCCGUGUCGCUGGCAAAGGAUUCCUUUUGGACAGAGCAGAUCUGAAUUCAGCUUGCCUUUGAGCUGUGUGGCCUCUUUCCUUCUCUGUAAAGUGGCAUCGUGGAGGCACCUACCGGGUGACACUGUGGGGAGGGCUGGGGCCCUACCUGCCAAGUAUCUGGCUCGGCUGAGGGGCUGGGGAGAGGGGUCUGGGUUCGGAGAAGGCUGGGUCUCACGGGCAGGCCAUCAAGCCUGGCACUGAAGUGGGACUGGACCUGGGGCAGACAGAGGGGACAGGGAGGUGCCAUUGGAACCCCCUUUACUUCCCCAUCAGAGCCUCUCCCUGUGACCCAGAUCAGCCACUGGGUUCCAGCAGAAAGGCCUGGGGCAAUGCAGCCUCCCACAUCGGAGACUGGGUCAGGAGCAUGGAAAUGUUCCUGAACUCUGAGAGAGCUGGCGGGGACCUGGCACCCAGCCUCGGGGAGAGCGUGGGGGUCGCACACAAGUCCUGGCAGCAACAGUUGUCAAGAGGGCUCUGUCCCAGAGCAGCCCUGGGGAACUGAGCCAUGUUGGGUGCAGAGGGAGAGAGAAGACCAAGGGGUGGCUUGGGCAGGGAGUCCCUAUGAGGUGCGUCCCUGGAUGCAGAAGGGUGGAGGUCACGCUCGGGAAGGGCUUCUCAUGCGUGGUGAGCAGCGUGGUCCCGAGUUGGGAGUUGGCGGGGGCAUUUGUUGGGGUUAGCUGGCCCUGCGGGGCAGGACGAGGGCUCUUACCCUGCAGUCACCUGACGGGCCGAGUGGGCAGCAGCCUCUCCGCUUCACAAGCCUGGAGCCUCAUUAACCCGGCGUCACGAGGCUGCCCAUGAGGCUCCCCUAGGGAGGCCCUGGCAGCCAGCACCAGGGCCCUCAGAAGUGCGUCCUGUGGAGCAUAUGCUCAUCUGGGGAACGACCUGGGCUUCCCCUCUCCUGAUGGCGUCCUGACGAUGGCAGGGUGACGCUGUGGGGGGACUUCCUCAGCCAAGUCUGGCGAACAGCCUAAUAUGGUCCUUUAUAGAUCAUGGCCGAGCUAAAAGUGGGAGGUUGCAGGUUAAAGUACUGUAGGGACUUCCCAGGAGGUAGGAGUGGUGAGACCCAGAAUAUACACAAGUGAGGGGAGAGACCCGAAAGACAAUGCUGAGUCCCCCCUCUGGGAAAUCUCAAUCGGGAGGAAACCACAGCCAGGCUGGACAGGCUGGAUACAGUGUAGCAGAGGCAGAGGGUGGCUGAGUGGCCUAGAAAGACCUUUUAAACUCUGUCUGGAGCAAGAGGAGGGAGGGAGAGGUGUCUCCUGCCAGGCAGGUCAGCCUUUUCCCCUCCCUUCCACCACUUCCGCCCAAGCCAGGAUCUGUCACAACUCGAGGUGGAAAUUCUGGUUUCCCUGGCGCAGAGCUCCUGGUGCUUCUGGCUUUGGCAUGAUGGGUGCCUGGAGUGCUGUGCUCCCUUUCCAGCCAGGCUGAGUCUUUGUUUGCUGCCUCCGGGUCCCAGGAACCCCGUCCUUCUUUCCCUUGGAUGGCACUCCUGUCCCAGAGUUUGGACACGGGUUUCUCACCACAGCUGGCCGAGGGGUAUGUGAGAGCCAUCUGGUGACAGCCUCUGGCCGAGCAUGGCCCUCCCAGCCCUGGGCCUGGACCCCUGGAGCCUUCUGGGCCUUUUCUUCUUUCAACUGCUCCUGCUUCUGCUGCCGCCACCGACUGCCGGGGAGGGUGGGCAGGGGCCCAUGCCCAGGGUCAGAUACGAUGCAGGAGACCCACGCAGGGGCCUGAGCCUCUUCCAGCAGAAGGGCCUCCGAGACUUCGACACCCUGCUCCUCAGCGGUGACGGGAACACACUGUACGUGGGCGCCCGGGAGGCCGUUCUGGCCUUGGAUGUCCAGCACCCCGGAGCCCCACGGCUGAAGAACAUGGUCCUCUGGCCGGCCAGCGAGAGCAAGAAGCGGGAGUGUGCCCUGAAAAAGAAGAGCAACGAGACCGAGUGCUUCAACUUCCUCCGGGUCCUGGUCUCUUUUAACGCCACCCAUCUCUACGCCUGUGGCACCUUCGCCUUCAGCCCCGCCUGCACCUACAUCGGACUCCAAGAUUCUUUCCUGUCAUCCGUGUCAGAGAAGCUGACGGAGGGGAAAGGUCAGAGUCCCUUUGACCCUGCUCACAAGCACACUGCUGUCUUGGUGGAUGGGAUGCUGUUCUCGGGCACCAUGAACAACUUCCUGGGCAGCGAGCCCAUCCUCAUGCGCACGUUGGGCUCCCGGCCCGUCCUCAAGACGGACACUUUCCUCCCCUGGCUGCAGUCGGAUGCCUCCUUCGUCGCCGCAGUCCCCUCUGCCCAGGUGGUCUACUUCUUCUUCGAGGAGACAGCCAGCGAGUUCGACUUCUUCGAGAAGCUCCGCACGUCCCGCGUGGCUCAAGUCUGCAAGAACGACGUGGGCGGAGACAAGCUGCUGCAGAAGAAGUGGACCACCUUCCUCAAGGCCCAGCUGCUCUGCGCCCAGCCCGGGCAGCUGCCCUUCAACGUCAUCCGCCACGCGGUCCUGCUGCCCGGAGAGUCGUCCUCCGAUUCCCGCGUCUACGCAGUCUUCACCUCCCAGUGGCAGAUCGGUGGGACCAGGACUUCCGCGGUGUGCACCUUCUCCCUCUCGGACAUUGAGCGUGCCUUUAAGGGGCAGUACAAGGAGCUGAACAAAGAAACUUCGCGCUGGACCACUUACGUGAGCCCAGCGACCAGCCCGCGGCCCGGCAGCUGUGCGGCGGGCCCCGCCUCUGAUAAGGCCUUGACCUUCAUGAAGGACCAUUUCCUGAUGGACGAGAAGGUGGUGGGGACUGCCCUGCUGGUGAAGUCUGGUGUGGAGUACACACGGCUGGAGGUGGAGGCAGCCCGGGGCCUGGAUGGGCACAGCUAUGUGGUUAUGUACCUGGGCACCUCCACCGGCUCCCUGCACAAGGCUGUGGUGAGCCAGGGCGGCAGUGCUUACCUGGUGGAAGAGGUCCAGCUGUUCCCCGAGCCCGAGCCCAUUCGCAACCUGCAGCUGGCCCCCAGCCAGGGCACAGUGUUCGCAGGCUUCUCUGGUGGCAUCUGGAGCCUGCCCCGGGCCAACUGCAGUGUUUAUGAGAGCUGUGUUGACUGUGUCCUUGCCCGGGACCCCCAUUGCGCCUGGGACCCCGAGUUGCGAGUCUGCUCCCUUCUGCGCACCCCUGACCAGAUAUCCUGGAAGCAGGACUUGGAGCGAGGGAACCCGGAAUGGGCCUGUGCCAAGGGGCCCGUGGGCAGGAGCCGCCGGCCUCAGAGCCGCCCCCAGAUCAUUAAAGAAGUCCUGGUGGUCCCCAACUCUAUCCUGGAGCUCCCCUGCCCCCACCUGUCAGCGCUGGCCUCUUACCGCUGGAGUCGUGGCACGGGGACAGUCCCGGAAGCCUCUUCUGCCGUCUACAAUGGCUCCCUCUUGCUGUUGCCACAGGACGGAGUCGGCGGCCUCUACCAGUGCAUAGCCACUGAGAAUGGCUUCUCAUACCCGGUGGUCUCCUACUGGGUGGACAGCCAGGACCGGCCCCUGGCCCUUGACCCGGAGCUGGCAGGCAUUCCCCGGGAGCGCGUGCAGGUGCCGCUGACCAGGGUCGGUGGCGGGGCCGCCGCAGCUGCCCAGCGGUCCUACUGGCCUCACUUUCUCGUCGUCACGGUCCUCCUCGCCUUAGUGCUCUCCGGAGCUCUCAUCGUCCUCCUGGCCUCCCCACUGGGGGCCCUGCGGGCUCGAGGCAAAGUCCAGGGCUGUGGGACCCUGCCGCCUGGGGAGAAGGCCCCCCUGAGCAGGGAGCCGUGCCUCCAGCCCCGCAAAGAAAGCCGGACCUCCGCCACUGAUGUGGGUGCGGGCAACAGCUGUGUGGGCACGGAGGUGGCUUAAACUGGCCGCAGGCUGGGCUUCUGAGUGGGACGUGCAUCUAGCCGUGCUAGCUGCAGGCCCGAGCCAAGCAGCCCUGACUGGGCCAGCGGUGGCGUAUGGGACGACCUCCUCCUCCUCUGGCUGAGCUGAUCCUGCCAUCUGUGCCGCCUGCAGCAGCCAGUGGGGCCCUGCAUGGCGCCUGAUCCCCAGUGCGACUCUCUCCUGCCUGCACGAGGCUCUCUGGUGUGAGCUGUCCUCCGACCCCACCUGUGCUGUGACAGGAGGACCUGCGGAGGGGUCUUCCGUUCUGGCCACCCCAGGGGCCCUCCAGAAAUAGCCCUAAACCUGAGUGCUGCAGGACCCCACGGUAAUGAAGCCCAGACGGUAAACCUCCGCGAGCUAGGACGCUGUUCUGGCGACUCACUCUGAAGGCAGCUGCUACUUGGACGCAAACACUCUUCUCCUAGGGGUCUCCGGGUCCUGCAGGGAGCUGGCCACCUGCUCCCCUUACCAACUUCAGGGAGUUGUUCCUGGAGUCUGACCACAUCUCUCUGGCUUCCACUGGGGCUGCCACUUGCUGUGUCCUGACUAAUGUGGCAGGGGUGGUCUGAGUCUCCCCUUGACCCUGACUGACUCCUGACCUCUCUCCUCUCUCUUACCCUGGGUUUGAAAACUGCUUGUCACAGAAGAUUUAUUUUUAUUAAAAAGACAAAAGCUCAUGGACGCUGAUAUUUCUGUUGGAGCAGAGUGCUGCGGUGGAGGACAGCCAGGUUGUGCGGGGAGCAGGUGGCCCAUGGACGUCCACCGGCCAGCGUCUAGGGCUGCGGGGCGACCGCUCUCUGGAACCCCACCUGCCUCCGCUCCAGGCACGGUCGGCUCUGGCAGGCUGCGUGGACCAGCUCCACUUGGGUCUGCUACACCGUGGGUGACACCUCAUCUGCCACAGCCGCCACAGUGGCUGUCCCCACGCACACGCUUCUCGUGACUCCAGUUCAGCCCCCAGCGGCUGUUGGUCCCGACUCCUAGUGCAGGAAUUUACAAGGAGAGGGCCGCCACCCCGUCCGGCCGUCCCAGCCUAUUUUCUUCAUCCACUCCUCGAUCAGUGGGCAUCUGGGCCUCUCCCACCCCUGGCUGUUGUGAAUAAUGCCUCAGCAUGGUGUGCGAACAUCUCUUCCAGACCAGUCUGCAGUGGCUUCUUCAUCGGAACUGCUGUCUCCUCCAAGUAUUUCUCUCUCUGCCGGCUCCUUUUCCUCUUCCCACCUCACAGCACACUUUUACCCCAGCCUUCGCAUUUCUGGGCUGCUUUCCUGGCUUCCUCUCUUCCUUUCCUUCCCUGAUGGCCUCUGGACCAAGGAAGAAGGGGAGUAGAAAAGGCUCCUGGGCUUUCAUGUGCUGUUAAUAGAUGUAAACACACCCUUCUGUCUGUCUGUCCGCUUUUCACCUGUUGUAUAAAAGGAGUGAACAAGCCGGGCAUGGUGGUGCACACCUGCAAUCCCAGCACUCCGAUGCUGAGGUAGGAGGAUUGCA